rnacentral:rRNA from 1 species
UACAGAGGGGGCAAGCGUUGUUCGGAAUUAUUGGGCGUAAAGCGCACGUAGGCGGCUUUGUAAGUCGGAUGUGAAAUCCCCGGGCUUAACCUGGGAACUGCGUUUGAAACUGGAAGGCUUGAGUGUGGCAGAGGGGGGUGGAAUUCCACGUGUAGCAGUGAAAUGCGUAGAUAUGUGGAGGAACACCGAUGGCGAAGGCAGCCCCCUGGGCUAACACUGACGCUCAUGCACGAAAGCGUGGGGAGCAAACAGG